CUUAAAUAUGAAUAAAUAUUGCUAAAAAUUAAAUUGAAAUGUGGUAGAAAAGAAAAGAAAAGAAAAAUCAAAAAUUAAGCAAAUAAUGACAUCACAUGAUGUCACUCACUUACUCCCACCCAAUCACCACUUGACAAAACUAAUAAAAAGAGAUAAAAUGAACUUAAAAUGAGAUAAAAAAACAAAAGAACCAGCAGUUUCCUUCUUCAUACGGGCUGGAAUAAGAGAGAAAGAGAGAGAAAAGGAAAAGAAAGAAAGAAAGAAAGGAAGAAGGAGAAGGAGAAGUAGCAGAAAUAGGGGUUCAGCAGGGCAGCAUAUCUCUUUUCCGUCCAGGAGAAAUCUUGAAGAAUAACAAGCUCAAGGUUGGUUUCAAAAAGGUACUGAAGAUACUGAUCGAGAGCCAGUAGACCACAAAUUGAGUAAGUCCAUCCUGCAGUUCUGCAUAGUGUCUGUGUCACCUCACUGUCUGCAGUGCAUUGGUAGGAUGCCAGAUGUCAUUUUGGUAUUUUGUAAUUGAUUUUAUUUUCUCAUAUGUAUUUGAAACUUAUGUAAUGUAUUUUGAUAUUCAUGUAAAUAA